rnacentral:lncRNA from 1 species
UCCAAGAUUGGGUUAGAGGUUUGGUGACUUGCCGUGUGGUUCCUGUUUCUGAGGCCUCCCUCAUGUUGCAGAUGGCAGUACUGCAAGACAAGAGGAACCUGCGACCUGAAGGCCCUUGACUGCUUGGAUCAGGAAUAAGCCCUCAACUCCACUGGCUCUCAUCAAACCACGCCGCGAGCAAGGAAUAAACUUUUACUGCAUGAAGGGGAUGCGACAUCUAGGUCGACUUAGUACACCAUCACCCACCCUACUCUAACACACACAGAAAUGGGUUCUUUGAAAUGGAGUGAUGCUGUAUCAGACAGGCCUUAGUUCUACAGAAUCCAGCUGCUGUGAGGUCCCUGGUGAAGCUGGUGGAAGAGAACCUUCUGUAUGUACCUGGGGAGUGGGCUUAAAAGAAUCCUGUCAACAACCCGCACAUCAACAUGUUUUGGAUGAUGCUACCUGCUCAGCAGGCAUAGUGAAGUGGAGUGCCUUUAAGAUCACUUUUCACUGGGGGAUGGUUUUGUUGAUGACACAACAUUACUAAUCAAGCAAAUGGGAACCAAGGUACAAUAUUAUUUUGUUAGCUAAUUCCCAUAGUCCAGUCAGAUUUUUUUAGCCCCUUUCUUAUUCCAUUUGUCAAUUUCCUUUUGUGAUGCAUAGUUUUGAAAGUAAAUAAAAAUUACUUAUGUUAAAA